UGGUUCUCCAGAAAACAAAGGAAAUUCCCAAUCACAAAGGCUUACUCCUCUGUUCUUCUUGGUGAUUUGAAGGUGGAUAUCUAAAACAUUUGUUGGGUUUCAGUGUCUCAGUUGAUCUUUGGAGCUCGGAUGUGUUUACUCUAAGAUUCUAACCAGAAGACUACUUCUUAAAGGGAGAACCUAGAUUGAACAACCACCAAAUGAAGAAUUAUGGGAAAAGAACCAGCUUCAUUGUCAAACUAAGAUGUUUAGACCACAACAUCAGUAUGAAGGUUGUCUGAGUUAAGAUUUCAGGAGUUUCUGAAUAAAGUGGUUAAUCUUCGGGGGAUUUAUCAUCUAAUCCAGACAAACGCGGAGCUGCCUCCUUUGCUCUCAUGUGAGAGGGGAAGAGUUGGUAUGAAUAAAAGUGAUAACUUGGAUCCAAGAACGGGGAAAUCACGUACAACAAUCAAAGAGCCUAAACUCCUAAGAAGUCACCAGCCCAACAGCAUAAAAGGAGCCGAGA